rnacentral:misc_RNA from 1 species
GAUGAAGAACGUAGCAAAAUGCGAUAAGUAAUGUGAAUUGCAGAAUUCAGUGAAUCAUCGAAUCUUUGAACGCACAUUGCGCCCGCUGGUAUUCCGGCGGGCAUGCCUGUUCGAGCGUCAUUUCAACCCUCAAGCCCCCGGGUUUGGUGUUGGGGAUCGGCUCUGCCCUUCUGGGCGGUGCCGCCCCCGAAAUACAUUGGCGGUCUCGCUGCAGCCUCCAUUGCGUAGUAGCUAACACCUCGCAACUGGAACGCGGCGCGGCCAUGCCGUAAAAACCCAACUUCUGAAUGUUGACCUCGGAUCAGGUAGGAAUACCCGCUGAACUUAAGCAUAUCAAUAAGCGGAGGA